rnacentral:rRNA from 1 species
UACGAAGGGGGCUAGCGUUGCUCGGAAUCACUGGGCGUAAAGCGCACGUAGGCGGCUUUUUAAGUCAGGGGUGAAAUCCUGGAGCUCAACUCCAGAACUGCCUUUGAUACUGAGAGCUUGAGUCCGGGAGAGGUGAGUGGAACUGCGAGUGUAGAGGUGAAAUUCGUAGAUAUUCGCAGGAACACCAGUGGCGAAGGCGGCUCACUGGUCCGGUACUGACGCUGAGGUGCGAAAGCGUGGGGAGCAACAGG